UUUUGUAUUAGUGGAAAGAAAUAGUUUGUGACCUAUUUUUUAUAUAGUAUUAUAUGUGUUCUGUUAGUUGAAUGUGUUUACAAGUGUUGACACACUAAAAGUGUAACCCAAAUCGAAUAGUCCAAGGAAUAAAGUCCAAUUGGGGAAUUUCCAAAUCAAAUAGCCUAAAGAAUAAAGCCCAACCGGGCAAUUUAGGAUAAAGGCUCAGAUAUGGUUAUUAAUGACUG
rnacentral:lncRNA from 1 species